rnacentral:rRNA from 1 species
UACGUAGGGGGCAAGCGUUGUCCGGAUUUAUUGGGCGUAAAGAGCGUGUAGGCGGCCGGACAGGUCCGCUGUGAAACUCGAGGCUCAACCUCGAGAUGUCGGUGGAAACCGUCUGGCUAGAGUCCGGAAGAGGAGAGUGGAAUUCCUGGUGUAGAGGUGAAAUUCGUAGAUAUCGGGAGGAACACCAGUGGCGAAGGCGGGUCUCUGGGCCGAUACUGACACUGAGAAGCGAAAGCGUGGGGAGCGAACAGG